rnacentral:misc_RNA from 1 species
CAAAUAUAUAAGCUGUAAUACAAAUAUAUUUUACAAUAAAAAUAACUUAUCGUAUCAUUGAUACAACUUUGGAAAUAUGCCGUGGCACCUGCAGGUGACACUGGGCAAUAUAAUAACUUUACUGUUGUUUGAAUUCGUUGACGUUAGAUGAAAUUGCCGAAGAGUUGGAGGCCGGAGAUGACCCAGGCGAUAUUAUUUUAUUUCCUCCUGAUGAUGUCGCAUGCUUCAAACUCCAGUAGAAAUACAAAAGAGACUUUCCAUCUCUGGAGACAAUUGUUUAGAUAAUCUGGAAGAAGAAGGGGUAGAAGUGGAAGUACCCGCACCGAAAAAAAAGAAAAAAGAAAAUACUAUAAAGAAAUGGUACAGCAGUGUCAGCAAUACUUCUUUUAUUACUUGCGGUAAA